rnacentral:misc_RNA from 1 species
AUAACACUUGAGUAAACAUAAAAACAAGUGUAAGUAGCAAUCCAUAUUGAAAACUGUGCUAUGUGAUUCACUGGAAUGUUUGCAAUUGCAGUAAUGAUUACCAAAUUAAAUGGAAAAUAAAAGGUUCGGUGAUGAAAUUGGAACAAAUUGACUGACUUGAAACUUAGCUUUAAAGUUCAGUGACAAAUGAUGCAAAUUACCAUAUUUUAUCAUGUUGGUAUAGUUCCAUUUAUGGUACCAUGUUGUCUGAUUCAUUUACUUGAAAAACUCAAGAGCUUUCGUUUGCAUGGUGGAACUUGAGAACUUCAUUGUAUGAUCUCAAUAAACUAAUGAUAAGGGAAACAGUGAUAGUAAACUACUCGCUCUUGCUUGCAGUUAUAUCUUAAUUAUACCUGAAGCUUGAAUCAAGUGUGCAUCUGGCAAGCUAAUGCAGGGUAAUUUAAAUAUUACAAACUUGUUUAUAGAAUCUCAAAAUUAGACUAUUAUGACUCUGACAUGCAAAUUUGAACCCUUAUUUUUUUCUCAUCAAGUCUUAAAAUAUCUCUGUAAUCUCUCUCGGUCUCUGAAUUUUCAUAUGACAUUUGGAUUUCUAUAGGAUGGCAAAUCCGAAUAUUGUUUCUUUUUCGUACAUAAUUUGACUUCUUUGAUGCUUUUACAGGUAUGAAACAAUCAGCAGCCCGUAGCAUUUUUUCAAGUUUGUGGUCAGUUGCAGUAAUGGCACUUUGAGUUGAUCUCUUCCUGUUUCUGUUAGAACUUCCAAAGCUCAAAUGGUUUCUUCAAGAGAAGGUACAGAUGAAUUUGCUUCUGAUGAAUUACAGAAAGGACAGAGCCCAGAUGAUGGCAGUCACAUGAUACAACAGAUUGAUGAUAGCGGAAUUCAUACAUCACAAAAUGAUGAAGUCACACCUGUUACCCCUGAGAAGUCUCUGCUGGAUACUAAUCCUGGGGCCCAUAUAUCACAGUUAAAUAAAGAAGGAAGUGUCUCCUCUGUAAUACUGCAUAAAGUCUUACUUACCCCUGGCACUG